UACGUAGGGUGCAAGCGUUGUCCGGAAUUAUUGGGCGUAAAGAGCUCGUAGGCGGUUUGUCGCGUCUGCUGUGAAAACUGGAGGCUCAACCUCCCAGCCUGCAGUGGGUACGGGCAGACUAGAGUGCGGUAGGGGAGAUUGGAAUUCCUGGUGUAGCGGUGGAAUGCGCAGAUAUCAGGAGGAACACCGAUGGCGAAGGCAGAUCUCUGGGCCGUAACUGACGCUGAGGAGCGAAAGCAUGGGGAGCGAACAGG
rnacentral:rRNA from 1 species